CAAGAUAAGCAGUUCAAAGAUCGAGUUUCACAUUUUCCAGAAGGUCUGAAGCACGGCGACGCCUCCAUAACUAUCAAAAAUACGAAGGUGACUGACACUGGAAAGUACAUCUGUAGUUUUCCACAUCUGCAGCCACAAAGAAAAGCUGAAAUCUUUCUGCUUGUUGAUGCCCUGUCGGGGACUGGAAUGAUUAAAGCUGCUGUUUUUUCUGUUGUUUUUGGAAUGAUUGGAGUUUUUGUUGCUGUUUAAUUUUACUGCAAAUCUUUAGCUGCAAAGUCACAGGAACAGUGUAGAGCAUCCAGUUAUUAUAAAAAUCAAAAACCACACAAACGACUCUCUCCACUUCUGAAAUUCUCUGCAGUGAUCUGAAGCUGUGCAAAAGAUGGAAGAAAACCUUCACGUCACAGAGCUCCACUCCACUUUUUCCAGGAUGUGAAGAUGUACAUUGGAGUGUUAUUAAGAACGUUUUAUUUCCUGCACAGAUGUGAUGAAACUGUAAAAAAUUCAAAUUGGUCCCAGAGCUGUUUGAUAUAAAUUGCCUUAUUUGUAAUUUUUUUGAAAUGUAAUGUGAUGUUAAAGACGAUCAUAGAAUAAGUGAUGACAGUAAAACAUUAAAGUGACACAAAAGGAAACAAACUAUAAGAGAGUGACCUGAGAGGUUUGUGUAUGAAUGAGUGUGGAUGAAUAUCUGCAAGUAAACUGUUAGAACAUCAAACAUCUGGAGCUAAAAUGCAUUUAACAUUGAUUCAGCUGCAUUAAACACGAGCACUGAUAAAAUAGAUGCUGAAAAAUGAUAAUAAA